rnacentral:rRNA from 1 species
UGGGGAAUAUUGGACAAUGGGCGAAAGCCUGAUCCAGCAAUUCCGCGUGUGUGAAGAAGGCCUUCGGGUUGUAAAGCACUUUAGUGGGGGAAGAAACAGCUUGGCCACACCAAGCCUUGACGGUACCCCAAGAAUAAGCACCGGCUAACUCUGUGCCAGCAGCCGCGGUAAUACAGAGGGUGCAAGCGUUAAUCGGAUUUACUGGGCGUAAAGGGUGCGUAGGUGGUUUUUUAAGUCGGAUGUGAAAGCCUGGGGCUCAACCUCAGAAUUGCAUUCGAUACUGGGAAACUAGAGUUCGGUAGAGGGCGGCGGAAUUUCCGGUGUAGCGGUGAAAUGCGUAGAUAUCGGAAGGAACAUCAAUGGCGAAGGCAGCCGCCUGGGCCUGGACUGACACUGAGGCACGAAAGCGUGGGUAGCAAACA